GAGGGUAUAACUCAGUGGUAGAGUGUAUGCUUAGCAUGCACAAGGUCCUGGGUUUAAUCCCCAGUACCUCCA
rnacentral:tRNA from 1 species